rnacentral:rRNA from 1 species
CAAAUGACUCUCGGCAACGGAUAUCUUGGCUCACGCAUCGAUGAAGAACGUAGCAAAAUGCGAUACUUGGUGUGAAUUGCAGAAUCCCGUGAACCAUCGAGUUUUUGAACGCAAGUUGCGCCCGAAGCUUUUUGGCCGAGGGCACGUCUGCCUGGGCGUCACAC